ensembl:lincRNA linc-56 ncRNA
AGUUUUGAUAAAAACUGCUAAUCAAACCGAGAUAAUAUCACUCAAAGUGGAGCAAUGAAACACGUCACCAAAAAAAUUUUUACGGUAUUCAAUUUACCGAAAUAUAAAAAUUUAGGUGCAAUCAUUUUCCUACCCCAUCAUUUUUUUAGAAUGCUCAAAUAAUGAUUAAUUUAAAUUUAAUUUACACGCGAAUGUUCAUUUUGAUACGUGUUUCAUUUUUCGGCUCAGAAAACAACAUUAUUAAGCCGGAAAAUACAGAAAAAGGUCACGUUUUUAUCAAUGUAAAUGUUCUAAAAAGAGGGAUGGAGUAGAAAAAGAAAUGCACCUAAAUUUGUGAUGUAGAAAAUUGGUUUUAAUAGUAAUGCAAUAUUUCCCAUACUUUCUACUUUCUGUGUGUAUCUAAAAUUCUAGUAGUAAACAGUUGAAGACAAAUUUCGCACAUCACCCUUAAUUAGUUUUUUGCAAACCGUUUUAUUUCGCCCUACGAGUAAACUGCAAAAUUUUCUUACUCUGAUAAUUUUUUUCAAUUUUUGUUCUUUCACCCCCUUUUCCUCCCUUAACCUAAUCCUUUUUUGACAAUUUGAAAUUGAAUGAGUUUUUGCACAAUUUUUUAAUAUGUAACAGACGCAACUGAUUAAUGUCAAGAAAUUUUCAAAUCAUUUUUUUUUCUCAUUCAACAUGUUCAUAUAUAUAUAUAUUUUUUUUUCUUCUCCUAUCUCAUGAGUUUCAUCGCCAAAAUAAAGUUAAUCCAAAUA